UAACUUUCAGAAGUGAAGGAAAAUUUUAGUGUAACUAUUCUAGUGUUAAUCCUGUCUCUUCUGCUUUUGCAACCAGGGAUGAGAGGUAGGAAGAGUUUCUGACUACCCCUAGUUAAGGGGAGGGAGGUUACAGCACCUGGUAUUUAAAAAGAAAGGCCGAACACCAACCUGAGAGGAGAGAAAUGAAAAUCAAGCAAUGCAGUAGUUGCUCCAGUUGAGUGAUAAAGGUGGCAGCAGCUAAUGGUGAAUGCUUCUAAGGUGUCAGCCAGGGAGCUGUGAAUUCUCAACAAUAGUCCUUGCUUUUGGACAAGUUUCUCUCUUAUGUUAGUGUUUCUUAAAAGCGUUGGCUAAAAAGAGAAAAAAAGGGUCUUUAGUCUGUGAAAUGAGUGGCCACAGUUUCACUUUGUAGUACUAUAAUGGAGAGCUUCUAUUUGCCUGCCAAGUACUGUAUUCAUCAUGCCCUCAAGAAAAGUUAACUCUGUCAUAAAAUUCAAUUGAAAAUGCCAGGAUGAAUACUUUUUUUUAUUGUAAUCAUGUCAUCUAUUUUCUCUGCCACAUUUUUCCUUGUUCCAUCUCCUUUCAUAACAUCACCUACUAGAGACUAAAUAUAAACUACCCACCAAACUGAAACAUUUGGUGACAAGAAGUGACACCCUGCAGGCUGCUCGGAUCUAGAUGCUCCAGCAUUAAUCUGGUAACUGGCAGGUCAUGCAACUGACAGAACAAAUUCAUCAUAUGGUGAAGCUGGGAGAGGGACCGAGCCCAGGAGCCCACUGCAAGCACUGGGAACAGGAGGGGACCUCGGCCAGCUUGGGCAAACCACCUCCCCAGGCACCGCCUGAUGAAUAUGGUUCCAACAUUUACCAGUUCUGAUGGUACUUGUAACAACAACAAGUUAAAGAAAUCAGUUUUA